GAUGAACGCUGGCGGCGUGCCUAAUACAUGCAAGUCGAGCGAACAGACGAGGAGCUUGCUCCUCUGACGUUAGCGGCGGACGGGUGAGUAACACGUGGAUAACCUACCUAUAAGACUGGGAUAACUUCGGGAAACCGGAGCUAAUACCGGAUAAUAUAUUGAACCGCAUGGUUCAAUAGUGAAAGACGGUUUUGCUGUCACUUAUAGAUGGAUCCGCGCCGCAUUAGCUAGUUGGUAAGGUAACGGCUUACCAAGGCAACGAUGCGUAGCCGACCUGAGAGGGGGAUCGCCAACACUGGAACUGAGACACGGCCCAGACGCCUACGGGAGGCAGCAGUAGGGAAUCUUCCGCAAUGGGCGAAAGCCUGACGGAGCAACGCCGCGUGAGUGAUGAAGGUCUUCGGAUCGUAAAACUCUGUUAUGAGGGAAGAACAAAUGUGUAAGUAAAUGUGCACGUCUUGACGGUACCUAAUCAGAAAGCCACGGCUAACUACGUG
rnacentral:rRNA from 1 species